rnacentral:lncRNA from 1 species
GUUCGAGUUGCCUUAAACUCAAAGAGCACUACUUAUGAGCAAAGCUUAGCAAGCUACCCUGUAGCUACUUCUGUAAUGUAAGUACAGAAACUUACAUUAUCUUGGAAUUCUGGAAGGCAUACCUUGGAUAAGAUUAAUGGUGACAGAGGAAUCCUUAUUGAAUAGUAACAGAAUACAAGUUGAUUCUUAUCAGUAGCCUAUUGUUCCACAUUUGACUACCUAGGUAAGAUGAAAGCACAGGAAUGCAUCAUAGAAGUCACAAAAAUAACCCUACGCUUCCAGGAAACUAAAAGAAGUAAAGAACCAAACACAUUUUACC